rnacentral:misc_RNA from 1 species
AACUUACCUACAACGUUGCCUCGGCGGGAACAGACGGCCCCGUAGAACGGGCCGCCCCCGCCAGAGGACCCCCUAACUCUGUUUCUAUAAUGUUUCUUCUGAGUAAACAAGCAAAUAAAUUAAAACUUUCAACAACGGAUCUCUUGGCUCUGGCAUCGAUGAAGAACGCAGCGAAAUGCGAUAAGUAAUGUGAAUUGCAGAAUUCAGUGAAUCAUCGAAUCUUUGAACGCACAUUGCGCCCGCCAGUAUUCUGGCGGGCAUGCCUGUUCGAGCGUCAUUACAACCCUCAGACCCCCGGGUCUGGCGUUGGGGAUCGGCGGAGCCCUUCUGCCGGGACAAAGCCGUCCCCCAAAUACAGUGGCGGUCACGCCGCAGCUUCCAUUGCGUAGUAGCUAACACCUCGCAACUGGAGAGCGGCGCGGCCAUGCCGUAAAACACCCAACUUCUGAA